UUCUACUGUCGCAUACAAAGAAAUUUUUUCAAAUUUAAAAUAUUGGUGUUCUAUUGUCGGUGGAGUUAUACGGUCGCCAUAACGGCGGAUUGUCCCCCCAUCCGCCAGGUCGCGCGAGUGUCUUCGUGAGGAAGAAAUAUUUGCCAUUUGUUUCCGAGGCGUGACUUUAAAGUGUCUUCCAAGUUGAUUGGUGUCGAUCUACAUUUUUAGCCAUUAAAUGUAAUUGGCGAUCUGGCUUAUAAUUUCACUUGGCCAAAUGUGAUGACGUGGGUCGAAAUGUCGGCCAUUGUUAGCUGUACGUCUCAUCUCGUGCAGAAACUCUUUAGAGCUAUUGAUUUUCAGGUCGGAAAUGGAGAUCCCUUUGCUCAACUGUUG
rnacentral:lncRNA from 1 species